AGUGAUAAUAAGCUGGUGAUAGAUAAGCAUUCUCGUAACUGUUAGUGUAGCCUCAUAUUUUAAUGGCAACAGGUUGACACCAGUGUUUGACAGUGAAACUCAGGGACACGGACACUUAAUAGCAUCACAAACAAAUAAAAGAAGUGUAACGCACAGAGAUUAUAUAUCUAACUGCGUAUAAAAUAUUUGUCAUAUCAUCGUCACAAUUGACAAUAUACAUAUAUCAGAAGCAACUGUUGCAUGUUAAACGUGAAGCUAUGCAGCAUAAAUCGGACGUUUAUACAAUAAACAAUGCAGCGCCACCUUCGUACGCAGAGGUGACGGGACAGAUUCCAAUGAGAAACAACUUAAAUGUAUCUCCGCCUAAUCAAACAACGAUAUUCCACAACCAAGGAUCCACAUCUAUGCCUGAUGGCGUUUCGCCACCCACAGCGCCAUAUUUAUAUGUGCCGAAUACUUUUUAUUCGAAUAUCCCAACAACAACGCCUUACCCGAUAUAUCCGCUAAAUCCACAAAAUCCACAAAACCAAUUCGAGACUACAAUCCCUCCUAAUACUAUAAUUGCAAGUAGGGAGAAUAACGUCGCAGAUGGAUGUAUGAAAAUAUGUAAAGUGAUACUUGUACUAAUAUUUUGCAUGUUUCUAUUCUUUUUGUUCGUUUUUAUACUUAUCAAGGCAACUAGUUAGCCGUACUAAUUUUUUUUUAUAUUAAUCGAGUGUGUUAGAAAAAUACAGAGUUAUAUAUUUAUUAUAUUACAAUACUGCCACUGUAGUACAUAGUGUCGUUGCGAAAUCGUGUCUCGCAAUUAUAAUAUUUUAUCAUUAGUUUGUUUUGUUUUCACAACUGUAAAAAUUAAAGAAUUUUAUCAACAACUGUGACAAAGAUUAUAUUGCACCAUCGUGUGAUUAAACAAUUAUAAAGAUUAAUAUUUUUGUUGCGACAUUCCAUUAUUUAUUGU